rnacentral:rRNA from 1 species
UACGUAGGACCCAAGCGUUAUCCGGAGUGACUGGGCGUAAAGAGUUGCGUAGGUGGUCAGUAAAGCGAAUAGUGAAAUCUGGGGGCUCAACCUCACAGGCUACUAUUUGAACUCACUGACUCGAGAAUGGUAGAGGUAACUGGAAUUUCUAGUGUAGGAGUGAAAUCCGUAGAUAUUAGAAGGAACACCAAUGGCGUAAGCAGGUUACUGGACCAUUUCUGACACUGAGGCACGAAAGCGUGGGGAGCGAACCGG